GUACUUUGAGAUGUUGGAAAUACCUAUGCUGAAUGUGGGAGUAAAUUAAGUUUGAAUGUAUGUGAAAUCUGGCCUAGGAUCAAAUAUGGGAUGAAAAAUCCUACUGGAGUGCUCGUGAUCUCAGAUGGUGGAUGCUCAGCAAAUGUGAGAAAACAGUCAUUUUUUUUGUCACAGUUCAUAUUUUACAUCACGUUUCCCUUGAAAGGGGAGGGAUCAAGUGAGAGAUGCCAUGGGAUGGAGUCAGCCGAGCUGGAUGGGCUGCUAGGUUCAGAGGAACUUGUUGGAAAUACAUUUCCUCCCACUCUGGAAGUGCUCAUCGUCUGCUUCUCCCCAUGCCACUGUUGCUGCUGAUACAGGACAUUUUCUUUAUAGGCAUGGAUGGGCAUGGCUCAGGC
rnacentral:lncRNA from 1 species